UUUAAAUGUAAAAUAAAUAUACUAAAGUAGUAUUAGUUAUGUUCUUGAAAUUUAAAGAUUUUGGCGGUAUUUUAGUCUAUUUAGAGGAGCCUGUUCUAUAAUUGAUAAUCCACGAUUAAUUUUACUUAAUUUAUAUAAAUUUGUAUACCGUCGUUAUAAGAAGAUUUUAAAAGAAUAUAAAUUUUUAAUAUUUUAUAUAAAAAAAUAUAUCAGAUCAAGGUGCAGUUGAUAGUUAAGAAGAAAUGGGCUACAAUAAAUUUAUUUAUUUAUACGGAUUAGAGUAAUAAAUUGACUUUAUGAAGGUGGAUUUAAUAGUAAUAAAAUUAAUUUAAAUUUUAUGAUUUUAGCUCUAAAAUAUGU
rnacentral:rRNA from 1 species